UUCCGUAGGUGAACCUGCGGAAGGAUCAUUACCUAGAGUUGCGGGCUUUGCCUGCCAUCUCUUACCCAUGUCUUUUGAGUACCUUCGUUUCCUCGGCGGGUUCGCCCGCCGGUUGGACAACACUUAAACCCUUUGUAAUUGAAAUCAGCGUCUGAAAAACUUUAAUAGUUACAACUUUCAACAACGGAUCUCUUGGUUCUGGCAUCGAUGAAGAACGCAGCGAAAUGCGAUAAGUAGUGUGAAUUGCAGAAUUCAGUGAAUCAUCGAAUCUUUGAACGCACAUUGCGCCCCUUGGUAUUCCAUGGGGCAUGCCUGUUCGAGCGUCAUUUGUACCUUCAAGCUCUGCUUGGUGUUGGGUGUUUGUCUCGCCUUUUGCGCGCAGACUCGCCUCAAAACGAUUGGCAGCCGGCGUAUUGAUUUCGGAGCGCAGUACAUCUCGCGCUUUGCACUCACAACGACGACGUCCAAAAAGUACAUUUUUACACUCUUGACCUCGGAUCAGGUAGGGAUACCCGCUGAAC
rnacentral:rRNA from 1 species